AAUGAUUCAGUGAGCUCGUGUUUAAGGGGAAGACAUGUUUGUUGCACCAUGUAAGGAAAGUAGACGUUGAUUGCUCCAUCUGAUUGCUCCAUCAAUUUACCAUUGUUGUUUCAGUUGCAUAUUUUGCGUUGAAACUCUUAACUCACCAUCUUUGUUUUUAUUUUUAGAUAGAAUGACUAGAUAUUUGUUUUGGCAGUAGCUAAAAGCUGCAAGCUCGCUAAUUUUGUUUUUCACCAUAUUUCUCUGCUGGAUUUACCUGAAACAAGAAUGUUUGAUUCAGGAGAAUGCAAUAAAGAUAAAUGGAAUACAUAGUAGGUGGGAGUAAGUAAGAUUAAUUAUGCAUGUUAUUUGGUUGGUGUAUUUUUUUGAUACAAUUUUGGUUAACUGGUGGAAGUAAGUUUGAACUAAACUAAAAAUGACCAAAAUACUUAUACCUGUUAUAUUUGUUAUAAAUUUUAUUUUACACUAAGAUGUAGUUAUAAGGUUUAAAAACUAUUGCAAUUGUAAUGAGUUUAUAGAUGGAAAGAGUUCACAACUGAAAGAAAAUGACCUUAUCAGAUGUACCGGUGUUGCAUGUUUGGCUGUCGGCUCGGCAAUGCCGGCAACAUAACAGAAAUUAUCAAUAGCUAAAGCUAAAAAUUGAAAUCAAUGUUGAUUUUAUCACAUAAAUGAGGAAAAGAGAGAGAUAACAUUACAACCCAUUGAAUGUUUGGAAUGGAGAAUGUGUCUGGCAUUGUGCGAGGGGUGGAGCAAAGAAUGGAAACAAUGAAAUAGUUCCCACUGUAUUCAAUCAACCAAAGACGAUGUUAAUUUCAUAUAACCGUAGAAUUGAUUAUGCUUUUGGAAGUAUUGAAUCGUAUUUUCCUUAAUGCAUAUAUAUUUUUCUUUUGCAGGGACGGUUUGAGAUUAUUUCUCUAUCAGGUUCGUUCCUACUUUCUGACGACAAUGGUAGUCGCAGCAGGACUGGUGGUUUGAGUGUUUCCCUGGCUGGAUCUGAUGGUCGAGUUUUAGGUGGUGGAGUUGCUGGAAUGCUAAUGGCUGCAUCCCCAGUACAGGUCAUUGUGGGCAGCUUUAUUGCAGAGGGGAGAAAACAGAAGUCAAAUAUGGUAAAUUCUGGACCGUCUUCGGCACCAGGUCACAUGUUGAAUUUUGGUGCACCAGUGACAGGUGCCAGUCCUCCGUCUCAAGGGCCCUCCAGUGAGUCUUCUGAUGAUGAUGGUAGUAGCCCGCUUAAUCGUGGGUCUGGACUCUAUGGUAAUCCCGGUCAACCUCUUCAUGGUAUGCAAAUGUACCAACUAUGGAGUACUGGACAAACCCAGCAAUAGAAUGAAUGCUCCCAAAUUAACAAGUGCAGUUGGUUGGAUGUCAAGUUCUUGCAUGGAGCAGAUUGAGAUACCAAUAUCGCUAAUAUUCACCGAUACAAAUCGUAGGAGGAGCUUUUACUUUUUUACUUGUAGGUCAACUCCUUUUCUUUCUUCCUUCUAAGUAGGUUUUCAAUUCCUUGUUUCUCCCACGGAUUGGAAGAUGGCUAUUGUUUAUAGCUUCUGAGAACAAGCCACCGGUUUUUUUAUGGUUCAAAUUUGCGUUUACAAGUGCAUUGCUUGUUAAUUUUCAACAUCGGUAGCCUCCCUAUGUAAACUUGUUUCAAGAAUAUGAAUAUCACGGAAUAGAGAUGAGCGGGCAUUUAUUACUAGAAAA